rnacentral:lncRNA from 1 species
UGCCAUGUUCACAAGUAUAUUUUUAAUAUAUCAAUUCUUUCCAAAUUGAAAGAAGAGUCUAUGCAACAUUCACCCUGCAGGGGCCUUUGAAAACAGUAUGCUGAGAAUAGAUAGGGCUCAAGGACAGUAUCUCCAACUGAACUUUUAAUGAACUCCCGUAGGCACCAAGAAGGAGGGUAGAUAAGAAAGAAUAUAGAAACAAGGUACUGAGUAGAAGGUUACAUGUGGGAAAAGAAAGUUUGUUUUGCAUUGCAUUCUUUCUGGUGACGUGAGGUUUAUGGAGUAUAAAUAAAGUGAGGCGGAGGCUCUGAGUGCGGCCGCCAUGUUCUCUGUGUGUCUUUGUCUUUGUGUGUGUUCUUUCAUUCUCCACCACCCCCGGUGUGGCCCCCAACAAGUGGCGCAGCAAGCAGGGUCAGCACGGAUCUCCAAAAUCUUGCUAUUUAAUAGAAGCCUUGCCCAGAAGCCAGUUUGCGGCAUUACGCACCUCUAGCAAAGUAAUUUCACUUAGAUUCUGAUUGCAUGAACAUAACUUCAAGACAAUCAAGACAAGGUGCUGAUCUUCUGUGGCUGCCUCCCUGGGAGGUGAGUAUUCUGAAGACUAAAGCACACACAGGUGAAACUGAAUUUGGUGUGAGGUGAGGCAGGGAAAAGGGAAAACAUGACACAUAGUGGCUUCAGAUUUUAAAAGCAGACAGUGCAGGCCUGGUAUGACUUCAGUUGGGUAGAAUUAGCUAUCUAAGUAAAAUAUGAAUCUGAGUAUAUCUUUAUACUCAGAAAAAUGACAUCAAAAUUGCAUAAACUACACAGAUUCUUCCUUUGACUGGUAUGGCUGUUUGUUGUUUUGUUUUGUUUGGAAUCAAGGAAUCACUUUGACUAACAGUAAACUAAAAGGAUAACCAGAACACUAACCGAAAAGUAUCCUGAAUGGGAAACAGGAAUGUCCAGUAGAAUUAAUCAUAAAAAACACCUGCCAUUAGGAAUUAGGCUCUCUGGAUUCUCAUUUCUCCACUAGUUACCUGUGAUAUUGGCAAGUCAUUUGGGCAGCAUUUAAUUAGUAAAUGAAUGUCCAUUGAGCUUUCAAAAGUUUUCUGAAUUUUUAUUUUUUAUUGAAUAUAGCAAAAUUUUGAAAAGGGACUGCAGCAAGAUAAGAACCAAGCAGAAAGAUGCAAAUAGGAGGAUACUGUAAAAAACUAGUUGAAAAUGAGGGUAGAGAUCAGGGCAAAUGCAACAGAGAUAGUAAGAAAUGGUCAGAUUCAGGAGAUUUUGGUCACAGUAGAGUUUUGUUGGAGUGAAUGUGGCAUGUGAAGACAAAGAGGAGUUAAGUGUAGCUUUAAAUUAUGGCCUGAGCACCUGGAAGGGAUGGUGUUAUCAUCAACUGAGGGGCAUCCUAGAGCAAGAGUGCUUGACAUGAUCUGAUUGUCUGCAUUAGAAUCUUGGCUCUGCUAUUGACUGGGAUUUUGGACAAGUUAGUUAACUUUUGUGUAUCUGGUUUCCCUUCUCUGUGAAAAGGAGUUGAUUAUAUUAUUGCUGUAUAAAGUUGUUAAAUCCAUAAAUGAGAGAAUCUGUGUAAAGGAUUUAGAACAGUGACUGGUUCAUAGUAAGCACUCAAUAAAUGAUAUUCUCUAUUAUUCUCCUGAAACUAGCCUGAGAACAAAGACCUUGCACAAGAUCUCCUUAUAAACAAGGAGGCAGUGCUACUGUCAGAGGAGAUGUCACAAUCCACAGGUUAAAGAUCACUAAAUUUUAGUACAAUCAAGCCGUUGACAGUUACUUCCUGCUUAACCAAAUAGUUGCUCAACCAACCUAGUAAUUGG